GUUUUUAUAGUUGAAUACAACGUUGGUUUUUCAGAUCAGAAGUUUUGGUUAAAGUCCAAGUAAAAAUAA
rnacentral:tRNA from 1 species